rnacentral:rRNA from 1 species
UACGUAGGGUGCAAGCGUUGUCCGGAAUUAUUGGGCGUAAAGAGCUCGUAGGUGGCCUGUCGCGUCGGCUGUGAAAACUCGGGGCUCAACUCCGAGCUUGCAGUCGAUACGGGCAGGCUAGAGUUCGGCAGGGGAGACUGGAAUUCCUGGUGUAGCGGUGAAAUGCGCAGAUAUCAGGAGGAACACCGGUGGCGAAGGCGGUUCUCUGGGCCUGUACUGACGCUGAGGAGCGAAAGCGUGGGGAGCAAACAGG